AACAACCUCAUUGAUUGGAAUGAAUGCCUUCCAAGUGAUGAGGAUGUUACCCUCAUUGACUUCCAAUAAAUGAGGUUUAUAACAACCUCAUUGAUUGGAAGGAAUUACUUCCCAUCGAUGAGGUUUUU
rnacentral:miRNA from 1 species